rnacentral:rRNA from 1 species
GAAGGUGUGUCGUGAGGCAUGCUGGAGGUAUCAGAAGUGCGAAUGCUGACAUAAGUAACGAUAAUGCGGGUGAAAAACCCGCACGCCGGAAGACCAAGGGUUCCUGUCCAACGUUAAUCGGGGCAGGGUGAGUCGACCCCUAAGGCGAGGCCGAAAGGCGUAGUCGAUGGGAAACGGGUUAAUAUUCCCGUACCUGGUGUUACUGCGAAGGGGGGACGGAGAAGGCUAUGUUGGCCGGGCGACGGUUGUCCCGGUUUAAGCGUGCAGGUGUGUGUUCCAGGAAAAUCCGGUUCACUUUAACACUGAGGCGUGACGACGAGGCACUACGGUGCUGAAGCAACAAAUGCCCUGCUUCCAGGAAAAGCCUCUAAGCCUCAGGUAACAUCAGAUCGUACCCGAAACCGACACAGGUGGUCAGGUAGAGAAUACCAAGGCGCUUGAGAGAACCCGGGUGAAGGAACUAGGCAAAAUGGUGCCGUAACUUCGGGAGAAGGCACGCUGACACGUAGGUGAAGCGGUUUACCCGUGGAGCUGAAGUCAGUCGAAGAUACCAGCUGGCUGCAACUGUUUAUUAAAAACACAGCACUGUGCAAACACGAAAGUGGACGUAUACGGUGUGACGCCUGCCCGGUGCCGGAAGGUUAAUUGAUGGGGUCAGCGCAAGCGAAGCUCCUGAUCGAAGCCCCGGUAAACGGCGGCCGUAACUAUAACGGUCCUAAGGUAGCGAAAUUCCUUGUCGGGUAAGUUCCGACCUGCACGAAUGGCGUAAUGAUGGCCAGGCUGUCUCCACCCGGGACUCAGUGAAAUUGAACUCGCUGUGAAGAUGCAGUGUACCCGCGGCAAGACGGAAAGACCCCGUGAACCUUUACUAUAGCUUGACACUGAACACUGGUCCUUGAUGUGCAGGAUAGGUGGGAGGCUUUGAAGUGUGGACGCCAGUCUGCAUGGAGCCGUCCUUGAAAUACCACCCUUUAAUGGCUGGUGUUCUAACGUAGACCCGUGAACCGGGUUGCGGACAGUGUCUGGUGGGUAGUUUGACUGGGGCGGUCUCCUCCUAAAGCGUAACGGAGGAGCACGAAGGUUGGCUAAUCCUGGUCGGACAUCAGGAGGUUAGUGCAAUGGCAUAAGCCAGCUUGACUGCGAGCGUGACGGCGCGAGCAGGUGCGAAAGCAGGUCAUAGUGAUCCGGUGGUUCUGAAUGGAAGGGCCAUCGCUCAACGGAUAAAAGGUACUCCGGGGAUAACAGGCUGAUACCGCCCAAGAGUUCAUAUCGACGGCGGUGUUUGGCACCUCGAUGUCGGCUCAUCACAUCCUGGGGCUGAAGUAGGUCCCAAGGGUAUGGCUGUUCGCCAUUUAAAGUGGUACGCGAGCUGGGUUUAGAACGUCGUGAGACAGUUCGGUCCCUAUCUGCCGUGGGCGCUGGAGAACUGAGGGGGGCUGCUCCUAGUACGAGAGGACCGGAGUGGACGCAUCACUGGUGUUCGGGUUGUCAUGCCAAUGGCACUGCCCGGUAGCUAAAUGCGGAAGAGAUAAGUGCUGAAAGCAUCUAAGCACGAAACUUGCCCCGAGAUGAGUUCUCCCUGAGACUACAAGUCUCCUGAAGGAACGUUGAAGACGACGACGUUGAUAGGCCGGGUGUGUAAGCGCAGCGAUGCGUUGAGCUAACCGGUACUAAUGAACCGUGAGGCUUAACCUUACAACGCCGAAG